ACUUCUCCACCCCCUACACUUCCUCUGAGCAUUACCACUUCAGGGUCUUGCUCAUUUCCGGUGAUUGGCCUUAAGGUUGACAGCCACAGCCCAGGGCUGAGUUAACCUGAACAAGGAUCCUGACACCCACCCAUGUGCUGCCUGCCUUGAUGUGAUGCAUCCUGUGGGGAUGACUAUCAUUACUACAUUUUAGAGUUGUGGGCUGUGACUUGGAGCCGUGAGUGUUUGCUUGAGGUCACAGUGAGUCAUUGGAGGAAUUUAGCUCCAAGCCCAGACCUCACCCCGCCAGGCGGUCACUUCCCUUGAGCAGGGUCCUCCUUGCCGCCAACCUCUACCUCUGGUCCACAGCUCUCAUGCCAUCUCACUGUAAAAAUGAGGCUCUGGGGAUAUGUGGCUCCUGGCCUGGGGUCUCACAGCUCCUGUAUGACAGCCCCAAAGCCCGGCAGGAGGUGGACCACCACUGGCAAGCCUCGGGCGGCCCCCACAUUGUGCGCAUCCUGGAUGUGUAUGAGAACAUGCAUCGCAGCAAACGCUGUCUCCUCAUCGUCAUGGAAUGCAUGGAAGGUGGUGAGUUGUUCAGCAGGAUUCAGGAGCGUGGCAACCAAGCUUUCACUGAGAGAGAAGCUGCAGAGAUCAUGCGGGAUAUUGGCACCGCUAUCCAGUUUCUGCACAGCUGGAACAUUGCCCACCGAGAUGUCAAGCCUGAAAACCUGCUCUACACGUCCAAGGAGAAAGAUGGGGUACUCAAGCUCACUGAUUUUGGCUUUGCCAAGGAGACCACCCACAAUGCCCUGCAGACUCCCUGCUACACUCCCUAUUAUGUGGCUCCUGAGGUCCUGGGUCCAGAGAAGUAUGACAAGUCAUGUGAUAUGUGGUCCCUGGGCGUCAUCAUGUACAUCCUCCUAUGCGGCUUCCCGCCCUUCUACUCCAACACGGGCCAGGCCAUCUCCCCGGGGAUGAAGAGGAGGAUCCGCCUGGGCCAGUAUGGCUUCCCCAAUCCUGAGUGGUCGGAGGUCUCUGAGGAUGCCAAGCAGUUGAUCCGCCUCCUGCUGAAGACAGACCCCACAGAGAGGCUGACCAUCACACAAUUCAUGAACCAUCCCUGGAUCAACCAAUUGAUGGUGGUGCCACAGACUCCACUCCACACAGCCCGAGUGCUGCAGGAGGACAAAGACCACUGGGAUGAAGUCAAGGAGAAGGCAACCAGUGACUCAAGGGAACCAGUUUCCUGGGAUUCAGAGGAGCUGGUCAGGACAGGGUCCAGACUUCAUGCGGACAGGCAGAGAACAGCCACCUGCACGGUCUGAUGGGCUGCAACAAGUGCUAAUAAGGAGAGCAGAGAUGAUGGGGUGAUCGUGGCUCUCUUAGGCAGGGUUGUUUUCCUCUUUCUGGUGGGGAGUUGAGAGAAAGUUGGGACAAAGAGGAGGUGAUGGGGAUGAGGAGGUAUUGGGGAGGCACUGGGGAGCCUGCGUCAUCCCCAAAUACCUGCCCCUGAUGCAGCGGCUGGGUGGAUUAAGUAGAUUAUACUCCCAGAUCCACUCCACUUCAGCUGUGUUCACAUCAAGCCAGAGAGACCAGCAAGCCAAUCCACCAUCAGACCUGGAAGAGAUCCUCUGUGCAGAGCAAGCUUUCUAAGCAGGGAUUAUGCCCAUCUCACAGAUGAAGUCACUGAGGCUUGAGUAGCAUGGGGAUAAAGUGCCCAGCUUCCUCCAUGUGGUAAGUGACAGGGUGGGGGGUCUGAAUCCGGGAGCAUGGGGCUCUAAGAUCCCCUCCCUAAUAGAAAUGCUCUCCCUGCCCAAAGAAUCCCAACCCUGCCUGAUCCUUCCCUGAUCUUCUAUGUCCCUGGCUGCCAGAGGAAGGGCCCUUGGUGGGGGGCUCCCAUGCUCUCUGGCCCCCAAACCUGAACAGGGAGUUCCAGGCACCUCUCAGCAUGGUUUAAGGUCAAGGCAUUUCCCUGUGGAUGAGAUGGAAGUUGAUCUGGGUCACACAGCCUGGGGCCCCUUCCAGCUCUGCUCUGUGACCAUGGACAACUCCCUUAACUCCUCUGAGCCCAUCUCCUCUUUAGAACAUGUGGACAGUGACACCUGCCCCCUGGACCAUGAGACUGUGAAAGUUAAGGCACGAUGCCCUGAAGAGCUCUCAGCAUAUCAUAGGUCCUAGAAAAUGUUGCUUCACACAAAAGACUGUAGGGUUUGAUGGUGUAUGGGGAAGUAUGGAGUUGAGGCUGAAAGCCUUCAGAAAGGAGGCUGUCUUCCUGGGAAAAGCUGCAGUUAGGGCCCCUGUCUGAGUGAGCUGCCCACCUGCCCUGGGGACCUCUCUUUCUGAAGGUCCCUUUCAGGCCAGGGUCUAGUGGGCUGUGCAGCAGGGCUGGCCAGGGCUGCUGGGGAGACAGUGAGGCAGAGGAGGCAGCCAAGGCAGGUCCGAAGAACUACUCCGCACGGGGUCAUGAAGGUAUCCAGGGAAUGUGGGGCACAGGGCUGGUCACCACGCCAGCCAGAUGAGGCGAUGGGCUGACCUAGAGUGUCUACUAUGGGCAAGCCUCCCUGGACCAUUGGCUGGGGCAACCUAAGCAGACAGAUCUUCUUUAAUGACAGAGUCCAUAGCCAAAGUGGCGUGACAGACACAGGCAGGAAGGUCAGGGAAGUUUUCCGAGAAGGGGAAUUCAUCUGAGGAAGAACGACCAGAAGAAGUUGCUGUAAGAAGAACAAGAGGAAGGGUAUCUCAGAUGGAGGGAAUAGCAAGUGCAAAGGCCCUGGGGCUGAAAAGACCUUCAAGUAUCUGAGGAGCAAAAAUGAGUGCAAUAUGCCUGGAGAGUGCUGCUCCAGCCUCUCUCAGACAGAAGUGAGUAUGUGGACUGCCUUAUGGGGCCCCAGGAAAUUGGGCUUUUUGGAGUGCCUUUCUAUAGGCUCUGCCACUGACCACCCAGAACACGGUCCGACCUAGGGCUCAGGGCAGCUUGGCCAGAUGUGAAUCAACCCUUACGUGGCCCUUGACUCCCCUGAUAUGGCUUUAAUAUCUAAUCGUUGACAAUAAAUUGAACUCACUAAACUGUGGAUGCAAAGCUUGCUGGAGCUGUUAACAUCAGCAAAGCCAGUAGCUGUGUCUAUUUCCACACAGAGAAGAUGCAAUAAAAUAUAACUCACCUCUGGAGAUAGAUUCUAUAGAGCUAGGGCUCUGCCCUCUAGGCCCAGGAGAGAGGGGAUCAAUUCCUCUUGGUGAGCUCCUAUAAAUGGGCGUUCAAGCUUAUUGGAAUUAUGUGAAUGCUCGGGUGGGAGAUCCUAGGGUGGGGGGUGUGCAGAGAUUCUCGGCAAUGACUGUGUACUAUAAUAUAAUCUCAGUCAGCAGGAGACAAGGCCCUCCUCUCUCCAGCACAUGAGUCAUACAGGCCAGGGGCCUGGGUUGGGAGCAUUGCCAAGGGAUGAGUGGGCCUGACCCAGAAGGUUUUCUUCCUUCUGUUAUUCUGAUGGUCAGGUGGGUUUUCUCAGAGAGUUAAUUCUAUGGAAUAAAUCCUGCCCACCUGAAGCCGGGAGGGGUGCCUGGAGUAGGCAAAGAUGCAGUAGAUGGGAAGAGGUUUGGGAGAAAGACAGGUACCCAGGUUCUGCCCUCUGGAAGGAAAGUGGUCAGAGGUCAGCUGAUUCGUCCAAGGUCAUACAAGUUUAGUAUAGUAAUGAAGCUGUGAACAAAAGAAGGCUCCCUGGAGAUGGCCCUAAAUUUGGGGGUAGAGGAAGAGGGCAUCAGGACUGGAGGCGCCUAGAAGAGCUUGUGGGUUCCAGCUUCAGGGCUUCUGAUGUCUCCUCUUCAGAGUACAAUUACCUCGAGGGAAAAGUAACUCUUGGGCCUCUGCACUUUCUCCCCUCUGUGUGGGACUUCCUGGACCAGCCAAACCCAGCCCUCUAAGGACGGGAGUGGAUCCUGAAGCAGUGAAAAUCAACACAGGUGUGGUUCUGACAUGGCUUUGAGAGCUGGAAUGGAUGAAUAGAUAGAACCUGGGAAGGUCAGAGCUGGAAAGUGCCUUACUGCAUUUAACUCCCGUUUUAUACAUGAGUAAAUAGAGGCUCACAAGACAGCCUCUCAGCCUAACUGUCUGCCCCCCACAUGAAGCCGCCCUGUCUGCUAGCUUCCCUGGCCUCAGAGUUCCCUCUCAGGUCUCCGUGGCUCUCAUGUGCUGCAGAGCUGUUUUCCAUUUUUGCUUGUUCCUAAAUAGGACUUUAUCAGUGGCUGUGCCUGGGCCCUCCAUGGCUCUUAAUUAGGCUUCCUUGAGUUUCCUUUGCAGAGGCCUUUGGGUGAGGGGAGUGUUAGUGCUUGGCACCCGGAGCCGUGUACAGGGCGCUGCCUGUAGCCUGGAGAGAAGGGAGUGUGUGCAGGGAGGCUGGUGCUGAGGGCUGCUAGUGCAUAGAGAACCUGGAGGCAUGAAGGGUGGGGUUUUUCAGGCCCCAUCUCUGCCCUGUGCAGGUCUGCUGGAGCCCAGGGGGCUUCGAGUCUGAGACCUCUGGCUCCUGGCUGGCUGCUGAUGAUCCCCUCUUCUGCUGCUCCGAGGACUGGGGCUGACUGAAGGCUGGACACACACAAGGGAUUUCCCGACUGUGCCCUGAGGAUGGGGAGGGGCUGCAGCUGCGGAAAUGUUGGGAGCCAUGGCCCAUUUGAUCUGGAAUCCCCACUCUCUGGCUGGAGAUGUGACUUCUCUCUCAGGCUCCUUCUCUUCUUCUGGGUGAAGACCAGGAUGUCGUCACAGAAUCAGGGCUGUGGAGGUUCAUGAGAGGAGAGUGGGGGCUUUGCUUGGCCUUGGGGCUCGAUGGGACUUCUGGAAGGUCAGAGCCAAGAGGGCACGGCAUGGCCCUGGGAGUUGUCUUGCGGCCUCUGUGGGCUGGGGAUGCGGGGUGCGGCUGGGGAUGGGCCGAGAGGCGGGGGGCAGCCUUAAGCGCCCUGCCUAGGGUGGGAUAAUAAAUGCCAGGCUGAGUGUGGACACUGCUCUAGAGGCAUCAGGGAGCCAUUGGAGACCCUUGGGCUGAAGGGAGGUGACAAGCUGGGAGGUUUGGAGCAGCUUCACCUGGGGGUUGGGAAUGAUGAAGCAGGAGUGGAGGAACUCAUCGGACCCUCUCUCCCGGGCUCAAGUGGCAUGGCCUCCGGGCAGGCGCCCCUCUGCAAGCGUGACUGGAACUGUGGCUGGACGCUCAGGGACAGCUCAGGGUGACUCCCAUGUAAGUCACCAUCAGUUCCCGGAUCACAUCCACCCUUGUUUAGAGUCUUCUCAACAAGCUCUCCUUGGGACAUUCUUAAAUGAGUCCCAGGUCAGUUGUCUAGAAAAGCGGAGCAGUUCUCAUGCUGCCAGCCCUGUGGGUUGCCCCUGCCCUGGGAUUUCCUGUCCUGUGGAAGGAGGAAGAAAAACUCACAUUAUUGCCGCAUGGAUGCCAGAAACCUCAGUUCACGUAACCCUGGCAGCACUCCUGAGAGGCACGUGCUCUUCUACCCAUUUUCCAGCUGAGACCUCCCUGAUGACCCAGGUCUGCUCAGGAUCCACAGUCCAGGCCAGUCCCAUGACCCCAGAAUUCCUCUGCCCCCAGCCCUGUCAGAACUUCCCUGGGGCUUCUACCUUGAGAACCUGCCUCAGCGUGAA